UCCGUAGGCGGCCGUGUGUGUCGGGUGUGAAAUCCUGCAGCUUAACUGUAGAAUUGCGCCCGAAACUACACGGCUAGAGUAUUGGAGAGGUGAGUGGAAUUCCUGGUGUAGCGGUGAAAUGCGUAGAUAUCAGGAGGAACACCAACGGCGAAGGCAGCUCACUGGACAAUUACUGACGCUGAGGGACGAAGUGUGGGGAGCAAAAG
rnacentral:rRNA from 1 species